CGCCUAAACUCAUCAGAUUCUGGUGAGCAUGGCACAAAAACUAGUUAGGUAUAUUAAGCUCUCCGUCCAGAGCACCUAACUAGUCAUAUCGGGAAACCGGUAUGGGUAGCUGCAAGGCUAUC
rnacentral:sRNA from 12 species